AACUGAUACUACCUGCGGGAACCUGCGGAGGGAUCAUUACAGGACUCGCAAGACUCCUACAACCCUGUGAACUUAACUAUAAGCACGUUGCUUCGGCGGGUGUCUCGGCGAGGGUUCUCCCUCCCCGGGGCGCUAAGCCCGCCGGCAGCCUACUAUACUCUGUCUCUUUGCGUUGGCAUCUCGAGUACAAACAAACAAGUUAAAACUUUCAACAACGGAUCUCUAGAUCGGAAGAGCACA
rnacentral:misc_RNA from 1 species